rnacentral:rRNA from 1 species
AUUGAACGCUGGCGGCAGGCCUAACACAUGCAAGUCGAGCGGAUGAAGGGAGCUUGCUCCUGGAUUCAGCGGCGGACGGGUGAGUAAUGCCUAGGAAUCUGCCUGGUAGUGGGGGAUAACGUCCGGAAACGGGCGCUAAUACCGCAUACGUCCUGAGGGGGAAAGUGGGGGGUCUUCGGACCUCACGCUAUCAGAUGAGCCUAGGUCGGAUUAGCUAGUUGGUGGGGUAAAGGCCUACCAAGGCGACGAUCCGUAACUGGUCUGAGAGGAUGAUCAGUCACACUGGAACUGAGACACGGUCCAGACUCCUACGGGAGGCAGCAGUGGGGAAUAUUGGACAAUGGGCGAAAGCCUGAUCCAGCCAUGCCGCGUGUGUGAAGAAGGUCUUCGGAUUGUAAAGCACUUUAAGUUGAGAGGAAGGGCAGUAAGUUAAUACCUUGCUGUUUUGACGUUACCAACAGAAUAAGCACCGGCUAACUUCGUG